AUACCUCUAAACUUUGACAAGGGCAUGGACGAAUGUAAACACGAUGGCAUCGGUUAUGUUUCGUUUACCUAAAACUACUUCACCAAUCCAGGUUAUAUUCUUAAGACAGACACCAGCAAGAUUUGCAAGCACUGAUGUUGUAGAAACAGAAGAUAAGAAAUUUCCUAAAGUUAAAUCAGAUUAUUAUAGUUUGAAAAGAGGUACAGGAGGUCGAUCAUCUUUCAGUGGAAAAGUAGCUACCGUGUUUGGUGCUACUGGGUUUCUAGGCCGUGCUGUUGUUAAUCAAUUAGGAAAAAAUGGAACUCAAGUGAUUAUUCCAUAUAGAGGAGAUCCAUAUUUAGUUACUAGGUUGAAAAUGAGUGGUGAUUUGGGUCAAAUACUGUUUACACACUUCCAUCUCAAAGAUGAAGAGUCAUUGUAUAAAGCAAUGAGACAUUCAAAUGUUGUUAUCAAUCUUAUUGGCAAACCAUUUGAGACACCCAACUUUACUUUUGAAGAUGUACAUGUCACUGGAGCUCGAAACAUUGCACGCAUUGCUAGAGAAUGUGGGGUUCAGACUCUCAUUCACAUGUCAUCAUUGAAUGCUUGUGAAAAGCCUAAACCUGUUAUUUUAAGGAAAGGCUCUCAAUUUUUAGCUUCAAAGUGGCGUGGGGAACAAGCUGUAAGAGAAGAAUUCCCAGAUGCAAUUAUUUUUCGUCCAUCUGAUAUGUGGGGCCAACAAGACCACUUCUUAAAUUAUUAUAUGCAUCAAAUGAGAAGAACUUGGCGUGCCAUGUCCUUGUGGAAUAAGGGAGUUGGUAUUGUUAAACAACCAGUUUUCUAUUCAGAUGUUGCAAAAGGUAUCCUUAAAUCUAUAUUUGAUCCUGCUGCUGCUGGUCAUACAUUUCAAGCUGUUGGACCACAUCGAUAUGAACUUUCAGAACUCAUGGAUUGGUUUCAUCGAAUUAUGAACAGAACACGUGAAAGAAUGUACUAUAGAUUAGACAUCCGUUUGGAUGCUACGUUUUGGGCUAGGCUAAUUUUGAGCGAAAUGUUGCUAACUCGUUACAGACAACUUUCUUGGGAAAGAUUGGAAAGGGAAUGUAUUACUGAUCAAGUUCUACCUGAACUCCCUACUCUAGAAGAUCUCGAAGUGAAUCUUACUCCCUUGGAAGAGAGAAUAUUCUAUGAGCUGAAAAUCUACAGGCUUCAUGCAUACCAUGAUCCUUUGCUUUCAGAAUAUAUAAGACCAGUAGAACCAUGCCCUUUGGCCAGAGAAUGAAUGAAUGAACAUGGUUUUUAAAAGGAACAGUCUAUGUCAAUCGGAUACAGCAUUACAGAAUGAAAGGAGAACAUUGUUGCAUAUAUAAUUUGUUUCAAGCAAAUAUAUGCUUUGCAAAGUAUUUAAACAUGAGAAAUAGAACAAAGAAAAGAAAGAUAGGUUUAGUGUCUGGAGAACAUAUAAAAGCUGUAGUGUUGCUGCUUUACCCUUUAUAUUUUCCUAAACACUUAAAGUUAUUUUAUACAUAAACUUGCCAAAUAUGUUUUAUUUUAAUUCUUCAUAGCAUACAGUAUCAAAUUUGAUGCAUAAUUUAUUUUUUAUGUUAAUAAUGAAUAAAUAUUUCUUAAGAGUAGAA